GCUCCCGUGACCUAGGGGUUAGAGCGUUCGCCUCAAAUGCGGGAGGUCGUGGGUUCGAUCUCCGGUCGAGUCCU